AUGCAGUCGAGCGAACAGACGAGGAGCUUGCUCCUCUGACGUUAGCGGCGGACGGGUGAGUAACACGUGGAUAACCUACCUAUAAGACUGGGAUAACUUCGGGAAACCGGAGCUAAUACCGGAUAAUAUAUUGAACCGCAUGGUUCAAUAGUGAAAGACGGUUUUGCUGUCACUUAUAGAUGGAUCCGCGCCGCAUUAGCUAGUUGGUAAGGUAACGGCUUACCAAGGCAACGAUGCGUAGCCGACCUGAGAGGGUGAUCGGCCACACUGGAACUGAGACACGGUCCAGACUCCUACGGGAGGCAGCAGUAGGGAAUCUUCCGCAAUGGGCGAAAGCCUGACGGAGCAACGCCGCGUGAGUGAUGAAGGUCUUCGGAUCGUAAAACUCUGUUAUUAGGGAAGAACAAAUGUGUAAGUAACUAUGCACGUCUUGACGGUACCUAAUCAGAAAGCCACGGCUAACUACGUGCCAGCAGCCGCGGUAAUACGUAGGUGGCAAGCGUUAUCCGGAAUUAUUGGGCGUAAAGCGCGCGUAGGCGGUUUUUUAAGUCUGAUGUGAAAGCCCACGGCUCAACCGUGGAGGGUCAUUGGAAACUGGAAAACUUGAGUGCAGAAGAGGAAAGUGGAAUUCCAUGUGUAGCGGUGAAAUGCGCAGAGAUAUGGAGGAACACCAGUGGCGAAGGCGACUUUCUGGUCUGUAACUGACGCUGAUGUGCGAAAGCGUGGGGAUCAAACAGGAUUAGAUACCCUGGUAGUCCACGCCGUAAACGAUGAGUGCUAAGUGUUAGGGGGUUUCCGCCCCUUAGUGCUGCAGCUAACGCAUUAAGCACUCCGCCUGGGGAGUACGACCGCAAGGUUGAAACUCAAAGGAAUUGACGGGGACCCGCACAAGCGGUGGAGCAUGUGGUUUAAUUCGAAGCAACGCGAAGAACCUUACCAAAUCUUGACAUCCUCUGACCCCUCUAGAGAUAGAGUUUUCCCCUUCGGGGGACAGAGUGACAGGNGGUGCAUGGUUGUCGUCACCUCCUGUCCUGAGAUGUUGGGUUAAGUCCCGCAACGAGCGCAACCCUUAAGCUUAGUUGCCAUCAUUAAGUUGGGCACCCUAAGUUGACUGCCGGUGACAAACC
rnacentral:rRNA from 1 species